UACGGGGGGGGCAAGCGUUGUUCGGAAUUACUGGGCGUAAAGGGUGCGCAGGCGGUUCGUUGUGUCUGCUGUGAAAUCCCCGGGCUCAACCUGGGAAUGGCAGUGGAAACUGGCGAGCUUGAGUGUGGCAGAGGGGGGUGGAAUUCCGCGUGUAGCAGUGAAAUGCGUAGAGAUGCGGAGGAACACCGAUGGCGAAGGCAACCCCCUGGGCUAACACUGACGCUCAGGCACGAAAGCGUGGGGAGCAAACAGG
rnacentral:rRNA from 1 species